UCCGUCGACUUUAAAAAUCGUGAGGGUUCAAGUCCCUCUAUCCCCAAAAAAAAA
rnacentral:tRNA from 1 species